GACAACGUGGCCGAGUGGUUAUGGCGUGUGACUCAAGCGCAAGCUUCUCCUACAGUGUAGGACGCAUUCUCAUGGGCUUUGCCCGCGUGGGUUCGAGUCCCACCGUUGUCA